CCUACGGGGGGCAGCAGUGGGGAAUAUUGGGCAAUGGGCGCAAGCCUGACCCAGCAACGCCGCGUGAAGGAAGAAGGCUUUCGGGUUGUAAACUUCUUUUAAGAGGGAAGAGCAGAAGACGGUACCUCUUGAAUAAGCCACGGCUAACUACGUGCCAGCAGCCGCGGUAAUACGUAGGUGGCAAGCGUUGUCCGGAUUUACUGGGUGUAAAGGGCGUGUAGGCGGGACUGCAAGUCAGAUGUGAAAAUUAUGGGCUCAACCCAUAACCUGCAUUUGAAACUGUAGUUCUUUAGUGA
rnacentral:rRNA from 1 species